rnacentral:rRNA from 1 species
ACCAUGCACCGAAGCUGCGGCAGCGAACGUAUCACCCAAGACAACUUUACGGAGUUGACGAUUGACGGAGCGAAGCGACGUCAAAGCGUUCAUUAAAGUCGAGUUGGCUUAGGGAUACGUUCGUUGGGUAGGGGAGCGUUCUGUAAGCCUGUGAAGGUGUGUCGUGAGGCAUGCUGGAGGUAUCAGAAGUGCGAAUGCUGACAUAAGUAACGAUAAAGCGGGUGAAAAGCCCGCUCGCCGGAAGACCAAGGGUUCCUGUCCAACGUUAAUCGGGGCAGGGUGAGUCGACCCCUAAGGCGAGGCCGAAAGGCGUAGUCGAUGGGAAACGGGUUAAUAUUCCCGUACUUGGUGUUACUGCGAAGGGGGGACGGAGAAGGCUAUGUUGGCCGGGCGACGGUUGUCCCGGUUUAAGCGUGUAGGUGUGUGUUCCAGGUAAAUCCGGUUCACUUUAACACUGAGGCGUGACGACGAGGCACUACGGUGCUGAAGCAACAAAUGCCCUGCUUCCAGGAAAAGCCUCUAAGCAUCAGGUAACACGAAAUCGUACCCCAAACCGACACAGGUGGUCAGGUAGAGAAUACCAAGGCGCUUGAGAGAACUCGGGUGAAGGAACUAGGCAAAAUGGUGCCGUAACUUCGGGAGAAGGCACGCUGACACGUAGGUGAAGUGAUUUACUCAUGGAGCUGAAGUCAGUCGAAGAUACCAGCUGGCUGCAACUGUUUAUUAAAAACACAGCACUGUGCAAACACGAAAGUGGACGUAUACGGUGUGACGCCUGCCCGGUGCCGGAAGGUUAAUUGAUGGGGUCAGCGUAAGCGAAGCUCCUGAUCGAAGCCCCGGUAAACGGCGGCCGUAACUAUAACGGUCCUAAGGUAGCGAAAUUCCUUGUCGGGUAAGUUCCGACCUGCACGAAUGGCGUAAUGAUGGCCAGGCUGUCUCCACCCGAGACUCAGUGAAAUUGAACUCGCUGUGAAGAUGCAGUGUACCCGCGGCAAGACGGAAAGACCCCGUGAACCUUUACUAUAGCUUGACACUGAACAUUGAGCCUUGAUGUGUAGGAUAGGUGGGAGGCUUUGAAGUGUGGACGCCAGUCUGCAUGGAGCCGACCUUGAAAUACCACCCUUUAAUGUUUGAUGUUCUAACGUGGACCCGUAAUCCGGGUUGCGGACAGUGUCUGGUGGGUAGUUUGACUGGGGCGGUCUCCUCCUAAAGAGUAACGGAGGAGCACGAAGGUUGGCUAAUCCUGGUCGGACAUCAGGAGGUUAGUGCAAUGGCAUAAGCCAGCUUGACUGCGAGCGUGACGGCGCGAGCAGGUGCGAAAGCAGGUCAUAGUGAUCCGGUGGUUCUGAAUGGAAGGGCCAUCGCUCAACGGAUAAAAGGUACUCCGGGGAUAACAGGCUGAUACCGCCCAAGAGUUCAUAUCGACGGCGGUGUUUGGCACCUCGAUGUCGGCUCAUCACAUCCUGGGGCUGAAGUAGGUCCCAAGGGUAUGGCUGUUCGCCAUUUAAAGUGGUACGCGAGCUGGGUUUAGAACGUCGUGAGACAGUUCGGUCCCUAUCUGCCGUGGGCGCUGGAGAACUGAGGGGGGCUGCUCCUAGUACGAGAGGACCGGAGUGGACGCAUCACUGGUGUUCGGGUUGUCAUGCCAAUGGCACUGCCCGGUAGCUAAAUGCGGAAGAGAUAAGUGCUGAAAGCAUCUAAGCACGAAACUUGCCCCGAGAUGAGUUCUCCCUGAGACUUAGAGUCUCCUGAAGGAACGUUGAAGACGACGACGUUGAUAGGCCGGGUGUGUAAGCGCAGCGAUGCGUUGAGCUAACCGGUACUAAUGAACCGUGAGGCUUAACCUU